rnacentral:rRNA from 1 species
UACGAAGGGGGCUAGCGUUGCUCGGAAUCACUGGGCGUAAAGCGCACGUAGGCGGACUCUUAAGUCAGGGGUGAAAUCCUGGAGCUCAACUCCAGAACUGCCUUUGAUACUGGGAGUCUUGAGUUCGGGAGAGGUGAGUGGAACUGCGAGUGUAGAGGUGAAAUUCGUAGAUAUUCGCAAGAACACCAGUGGCGAAGGCGGCUCACUAGCCCGAUACUGACGCUGAGGUGCGAAAGCGUGGGGAGCAAACAGG